GACGAACGCUGGCGGCGUGCUUAACACAUGCAAGUCGAACGGAAAGGCCCUGCUUUUGUGGGGUGCUCGAGUGGCGAACGGGUGAGUAACACGUGAGUAACCUGCCCUUGACUUUGGGAUAACUUCAGGAAACUGGGGCUAAUACCGGAUAGGAGCUCCUGCUGCAUGGUGGGGGUUGGAAAGUUUCGGCGGUUGGGGAUGGACUCGCGGCUUAUCAGCUUGUUGGUGGGGUAGUGGCUUACCAAGGCCUUGACGGGUAGCCGGCCUCAGAGGGUGACCGGCCACAUUGGGACUGAGAUACGGCCCAGACUCCUACGGGAGGCAGCAGUGGGGAAUAUUGCACAAUGGGCGGAAGCCUGAUGCAGCAACGCCGCGUGCGGGAUGACGGCCUUCGGGUUGUAAACCGCUUUCGCCUGUGACGAAGCGUGAGUGACGGUAAUGGGUAAAGAAGCACCGGCUAACUACGUG
rnacentral:rRNA from 1 species